UACGGGGGGGGCAAGCGUUGUUCGGAAUUAUUGGGCGUAAAGCGCGCGUAGGCGGUUACUUAAGUCGGAUGUGAAAGCCCUCGGCUUAACUGAGGAAGUGCACCCGAAACUGAGUAGCUAGAGUACGAAAGAGGGUCGCGGAAUUCCCGGUGUAGAGGUGAAAUUCGUAGAUAUCGGGAGGAACACCGGUGGCGAAGGCGGCGACCUGGGUCGAGACUGACGCUGAGGCGCGAAAGCGUGGGGAGCAAACAGG
rnacentral:rRNA from 1 species